UGAGGAAUAUUGGACAAUGGUCGGAAGACUGAUCCAGCCAUGCCGCGUGCAGGAAGACGGCCUUAUGGGUUGUAAACUGCUUUUGCAGGGGAAGAAUAAGGACUACGAGUAGUUUGAUGACGGUACUCUGCGAAUAAGCAUCGGCUAACUCCGUGCCAGCAGCCGCGGUAAUACGGAGGAUGCGAGCGUUAUCCGGAAUCAUUGGGUUUAAAGGGUCCGUAGGCGAGCUAAUAAGUCAGAGGUGAAAGCGCUCAGCUCAACUGAGCAACUGCCUUUGAAACUGUUAGUCUUGAAUGGUUGUGAAGUAGUUGGAAUGUGUAGUGUAGCGGUGAAAUGCUUAGAUAUUACACAGAACACCGAUAGCGAAGGCAUAUUACUAACAAUUAAUUGACGCUGAUGGACGAAAGCGUGGGGAGCGAACAGGAUUAGAUACCCUGGUAGUCCACGCUGUAAACGAUGGAUACUAGCUGUUUGGUUUUUAGGACUGAGUGGCUAAGCGAAAGUGAUAAGUAUCCCACCUGGGGAGUACGCACGCAAGUGUG
rnacentral:rRNA from 1 species